GACGAACGCUGGCGGCGUGCUUAACACAUGCAAGUCGAACGGUGAAGCGCCUUCCUUUUUGGUGGGUGUGGAUGAGUGGCGAACGGGUGAGUAACACGUGAGUAACCUGCCCCCUUCUUCUGGAUAACCGCAUGAAAGUGUGGCUAAUACGGGAUAUUCUGGGUCUGUCGCAUGAUGGGUCUGGGAAAGAUAUUGUUUCGGUGGGGGAUGGGCUCGCGGCCUAUCAGCUUGUUGGUGGGGUGAUGGCCUACCAAGGCGGUGACGGGUAGCCGGCCUGAGAGGGUGGACGGUCACACUGGGACUGAGACACGGCCCAGACUCCUACGGGAGGCAGCAGUGGGGAAUAUUGCACAAUGGGCGCAAGCCUGAUGCAGCGACGCCGCGUGAGGGAUGGAGGCCUUCGGGUUGUGAACCUCUUUCGCCAGUGAAGCAGGCCUGCCUCGUUUGUGGGUGGGUUGACGGUAGCUGGAGAAGAAGCGCCGUCUAACUACGUG
rnacentral:rRNA from 1 species